AACGAACGCUGGCGGCAGGCUUAACACAUGCAAGUCGAACGGUCUCUUCGGAGGCAGUGGCAGACGGGUGAGUAACGCGUGGGAAUCUACCUAGUUCUACGGAACAACAGUUGGAAACGACUGCUAAUACCGUAUACGCCCUAUGGGGAAAGAUUUAUCGGAAUUAGAUGAGCCCGCGUAAGAUUAGCUAGUUGGUGAGGUAAUGGCUCACCAAGGCGACGAUCUUUAGCUGGUCUGAGAGGAUGAUCAGCCACACUGGGACUGAGGCACGGCCCAGACUCCUACGGGAGGCAGCAGUGGGGAAUAUUGGACAAUGGGCGCAAGCCUAAUCCAGCCAUGCCGCGUGAGUGAUGAAGGCCUUAGGGUUGUAAAGCUCUUUCACCGAUGAAGAUAAUGACGGUAGUCGGAGAAGAAGCCCCGGCUAACUUCGUGCCAGCAGCCGCGGUAAAAC
rnacentral:rRNA from 1 species